CCCAAUCAGCCUUAUCCUAGCCCCUGGCCAGCUCUAGCUCCGACGGCGCCAUCCAGAAACCAAGAAAGUGACACCUGUUUCCUGCCAGGACCUUGACUGAGACCCCUAUUGCCCGGCUUCCCUAGAGCACCUUGUAAGUGCCAGAAGUUACUGGGAAGACAAUGCUGCAGACCACAGCAGAGAACCCCAGUGCAGAAGAGAGCUCCCCAGUCAGAGAGCAAGAGGCCGUCCCCAGCGCUACAGGUAAAGAGCGGCAGGACGUCACGGAGGGCACGGCAGGGAGCAAACACCCUGGAAACCCAGGAACGGAGACGGCCAGCACACGCAACUUCGCAUCCGCUCCUUCCUGACUGGUCUCUACCCUGGCAAAUCCACCCUCAACAGCACAGCCACAAGAAAGCCAACCACCUGGCUCCCCUGCCGGCGACCCUCCCUGACCACCUACUCCCAGGAGGCUAUAGUCCAGGUGUGACCGGGCCCUGCCUUCCCGCCACUGCCCACGCCUGGUCUUCCAGCAAGGCCAAACCCCUUUAGCUCCUCAAACACAUCAAGUCAUCUCUCCCCUUCUGUGCCAUUUUUCAGGUUGACCCAGCUUUCAGUGUACCCUCUCCCACAAUCUAGCUCUUGCCUAAAAUCUUGAUUCAGGUGUCAACCCCUCCAAGAAGCCUUCCCUGACCCCCCUCCUCUCUCAUUUCCCACCAUAGGAUCCUUCAUUAAAUCUAAUAUCACGUGCUCUAAAUCUCUGUGGAGCUAUUUCCCGCAGUAGAAUGAAGAUCCUUGAUGGCAGGAACCAUAUCUUAUUUGGUUUCCUAUACCUAUUGCUCCAAAAGUAGAUGAAUGAAUGAGUGGAAUGACAAUCAAAUGGGGGUUGACUGGGCCACUUCUGUGCUAAAGU